AUUGAACGCUGGCGGCAGGCCUAACACAUGCAAGUCGAGCGGGGUUUUCGGGCCUAGCGGCGGACGGGUGAGUAAUGCGUAGGAAGCUACCCGAUAGAGGGGGAUACCAGUUGGAAACGACUGUUAAUACCGCAUAAUGUCUACGGACCAAAGUGUGGGACCUUCGGGCCACAUGCUAUCGGAUGCGCCUACGUGGGAUUAGCUAGUUGGUGAGGUAAUGGCUCACCAAGGCGACGAUCCCUAGCUGGUUUGAGAGGAUGAUCAGCCACACUGGAACUGAGACACGGUCCAGACUCCUACGGGAGGCAGCAGUGGGGAAUAUUGGACAAUGGGCGCAAGCCUGAUCCAGCCAUGUCGCGUGUGUGAAGAAGGCCUUCGGGUUGUAAAGCACUUUCAGCGAGGAGGAAGGGGUGAGUGUUAAUAGUACUCAUCUUUGACGUUACUCGCAGAAGAAGCACCGGCUAACUCUGUGCCAGCCGCCGCCGUAAGAC
rnacentral:rRNA from 1 species